GAGAAUCCAUAUAGCCAAUUCUAAUUUUUGAGAUAAAGUCUUAAUAGAGUUGAAAAGUUUUUAAGCACCAAAAGAUUAUGAUAUACAACCACCAAAAACUGAAAUAAUAUACGUACCUCAAUGCAACUAGCCACCGCUUGAUUCAAUGCUAUCAUACAACUAGAUACAGAAAGAGAGGGAGUUUUACUGGUCUUAUAAAAAAACUUUAAAGGUGGCUUACACUAUUGAGCUUAUCCUAUAGCUAUUAUAAUAAUUAUAAUUUUGAUUGUUAGCUGUAUCUUUUGAUGCGCCAAGGAGGCAUUGGAUAAGUGCAUACGUGAAGAUGUGGUGUCUUCCACUUCUGACGGGCAAAACUUGUCCCACUUAGAAUGUGCUUUGAAUCACAUAUAUAUCAUUGGGACAUUACCUGUGUUAUGCUUUUGCAAUUACACAUUUACCAUUCCAAGCUUUUAUAGGGAAAAAAGAUUAAGCUCAUGCACAUGACAUCCAACUGGACGUGUCACAACUCACAACCGCAAACAGACGGGGGCAAUUCAGAAAACAGAGUUUGGCGUUGGGAAAGAGUAAUCAAGCAACAAAGCUCAACCUCUUCGCAGCUAUAAUUGUGUCGAUCUGUUGCGAAUUACAACUUUCACAGCACAUUAUCCGUCACAGAUAUAAGAGUUCCUCGAUCUAAAAUCACUUGCAUUGCACAGUACCAUUACCAUACAUAUAACUGGAUUUUCUUUAUCUCGCCUCUUUUAAACAGCACAAAACAAUGGGCACACGCGUCCAGUUCUGGCAAAAACAUAGAAUGGACAGAUUGUGGAAACGUUCCGCAUAAGUCCCUUAUUAACCACUAGAGUAACUAAAUAAGGGGCAUACAAGACAAACUUGAAUUCAGGGCUCCAUUCAUUUUUAAAAGCUAUUGUCGCAAAAUUUCAGGAGGACUUUCUCACACCUUAAAACUUGCCGUUCAGGUAUAUCAUACUCUCUCUGCCCAUCCUUAUCAGCAGUCAUCUAGUCAGAAUUGACAACGUUUACCUCAUCCCUCGUUGAUUUUGUCCUCUCAUCUUCAUCACCGUCUCCUUGUUUGGUUACAACACCAUCUGGUUUUGUUGCUUCCAUGACAAUUUCUUGGUCCUCAGCAACUGCACCAUCCUUUAUAAACUCAGCGCUAAUUGCUACAUCACUAGCAUUCCCAAUAACAGAUUCAUCAUUCAACUUAUUUCCAUCCACAACCACCACAUCAGGAAUAUUAUCUCCUUGGUUAAUCAAGUUGUGUGCAGGAACUCCAUCUUUGUUAUUUUCAUCAGCCUUGGGGACAUGAGUAGUAUGCACCCCCUCCACAACAGAAUGUACAUCAGUAGAUAAACUUGCAUCUGUGUCCAUAGGUGCAUGCUUGUUAUCUGAAUCAUCAUUUGUACUAUGUUUCGGACUGGCAUGAACAUGGUCUCGAGCAGCAUUUGUUUGCUUCCCUGAGAUUUCAAGAUUAGAUGAAUCAACCGGCACAGAACUUCCAACGUCAUCUGAAGGCAUAGGCUCAGAAGUUUCUGAGUUAUGCAUGGCAGAUUGUUUUGCUGCAUUCUCAGCCAACUCAAGUGCACGAUUCUUUGCAGCAAUUUCUUCCUGUUGCUUUGCUAGUGUUCUGUAAUCAGCAAUAAUAUGUUGUAUCCUUUCCAGCUCAGCCACAAGAUUUCCAUACCGCAUUUGCAAAGUUUGUUCUAGCUCCUUUUGCUUCUGAACUUCCUCCCAGAGGCCAUUGAUCCUAUGUGAUGCUGCUAAUUGCUCUUGCUUUUGUAAAGCUUGGAAGCACUCAAGUUCUGUUCCAGCAGUGUCCAUCUGCUUUAAAAUUGACUCAAUUGGUGGCAAAAGUUGCCUCUCUGACCGUGUCUGAUAACCCUGUGUAAGAACAUUAACCUUCUUCUCAAGGCGUAACGCCUUCUCUCUUUCAGCCUCUAACCUCAUUUUCACAUUCUCAAAUUCAUUCUGUAAGGCUGCCAGUUUCUCCACAUUUCCAGCAACACUUGAGAGACCAUAAGCAUUUCGAGUGGGGAAGUACAUCAGAUCGUUUAGACAUGUUUUGUGUGCGUCAACAAAUGCAUCAAGAGAUUCACUUUCAUGUCCCAUUGCUACACAGAUAUACUGAGCCUCUUCCCUAAUCAAAUUAUCAGCUUCUUUCAGCUCAUCUUCUUCAAAAUCCUCUAUCACAGGGACAGAAACAGCAGAUGCAUUUGCAGCUCGCUUGGCACCUUUCUUUUUCUCCUUAUUCUGCUUCUCAUCUAGCGGAUAUUUUGCAUUAUCAUGCUCAAGUAAGGUUAGAAGCUCCUUCCGUAUCAUUUCAUCAGCCAGUUCAAUUGAUGUAGGAGGAACAAAGGAGCUCUUAUCUUCAUCAGCUCUCAGCAAAGAAUUUCUAAUUAGUUCCAAUGAAGCAGCAGGAGGCCUAGGAAGUUCCCUCUGCAAUACUUUUGAUCUCUUCCUAAGCAAAGCCUGCAGUCUUGCUUCUUCCUCAGCCUUUUCUCUAGCUAUCCUAUCAGACAUAUCCUCUUCAAUCUUCUCCUCUGCUUCUUCAUGAUCUUCCGGAGGUGGUUGAAAAACUAUUUGGUAUUCAUUCUUGGGCUGAGGAAGAUUACUAAGACCAGACCGCAAGUUCCUUCUUAUAUCAGCUUGUCUUCGUUGCUCAAGUUUUGCACUAUCAUGCAUAUCCAUGUCUUCAUUAAUAUGGAGUUCAUCCCUGAUGGGAGUUCCUUUUGGUGUCAUACCAAAAGAGUACCCAUCCCUUGAUGGUGUCAUGCUAAUUCGAGGAGUAAAGCCAGCACCUCCAGGAGUUGCAGAAGGGGUUAGCAUUGGAUUUGGCGUUUGGAUCUCCCUUUUCUUGGGGGUGACCCCUGAAAAAUCUGAAGGGUGCAACUCUGGAUUCUCUCCUCCCAAUAAUGGUGUCUGUGACUCCCUCAACCGAGCCAAGUUUUCUGCUUCCAUCAUAAUAGCGUCGCCCUUACCAGCAGGAGUUCUUUGGGGAGUUCGAAAUGGUAUCAUUCCCUGCUGUGGUGUCUGGGCAUAGUUCGCUAGAAGAGCACGUGUUGCACCACUCCCUUCAGUUAGUUCCUCACUCCCAGCAAGAUCACUUGCAUAACCCAUCUUUGCAAUUUCCUCCAAUUCAUGGUCUGAAAUCUGUGGUGCAGGAAGCAUCAGCUUUGAUCUUUUCCUUACCGUUUCUGGAUCAUUCAACUUGUUGGCUUGUAGUAUAGCUGAUGGGGCAUCCUGCCUUUGAGCAAUUUUAUUCCUUGCAAUAUCCUGCUUUCUCAACUGGGCCUCUACAUCAAUCCUUCUUUUCCCUUCAAGUUCUUCAAUGGUAGUUGGGAACUUAGGCUGUUCCACUGGUCUAUCUUCAUCAGCAACAUCAAAAAAGCCAGGAGGAGGCUUCUUUUCAAAGGGAAUUUCCGCAUUAUAAUCAAUCCCCUUUCUUUUCCUCUUGCGUUGCCGCGUAUCAAUACCAGCAGCUUUCAGUUCUCUCCUUUUUUGCAAGGAUGCAAGCCUCCUAGCCUCUUCAAGCUGUUUCUCUCUAGCUUUCCUUUUUGCUUUUUUGCCCCUAGUGUUGGCUAACCGAGCUCGUGCUUCAGAAAGCAUUUCCUUUUCAUCUUCAUCCAUAUCAACAGGAUCAGGACGUGCAGGCUUUGACUCUGGAUUUGGAUCAAUCUCUCCAGGACGCAAUUUCCGUGGGUCAUCUCCAGGCUCAUAGUUCUCAUCCUUAACACAAGCUGCAUCAAGAAGUUUCUCAUAGCGUUCAAGGCAUUGAGAUGGUGUACGGCCAACAAUUGGCGCAAUUGUUCUCCAUUGAGUUGGCAUGAGCUUAGCAAGAUGAAGCAAUUUCUCAUCCUCUUCUCUGGUCCACUCAGUCUUUUUGAUGGAUGGGUCGAGCCACUCAUACCAGCGAGCCUUACACUGUUUAGCAGAUUUACGAACGAGAAGCGAAGAGAUUCGAGCCCAUUGAUUCUUCCCAUAUUUCAUCACCGCCGCUUUGAGAAUCUCAUCCUCCGUGUUCUUCCACACACCACCUUUUAUCAUAAUCCUCAUCUUGCCUCCUUUUUAUUUAACUACCACUCUGUUUCUUCAAAAUUCUAGGGUUUCGACGGCUGAAACAAAUAUGAAGGUUUGAGAUUGAUAGCCAACGCUCUCAAUCUAUAUUCUUAGGGUUUUCCCUUAUCGUGGAUUUACUGUAUUGGUCGCAAUUGGAUAAGACAAAAGUAAGAAAGGCCAUGAUAGUGAUGACCGUAAUGGCGACGAAGCAGCGAGUGAAGAUACCGUAAUGAAACAAAGAAACGGCGACAAAUUGGCAAUUUAUCGGCAACUAUAUUAUAAAAAAGCUAAAAUGGAACGAAAGCAACCAAAAAAUAGGGUGACCGGCAAUGAGCAGCGACUUAGGGAUGCAGGAAAAAGAGACAAAGCUUUAGGGUUGAAGUAAGGAUGGAGGUAGAUUCGCCGACAAGAUAAACGGCGGAGCUUGUUAUAAGUUAACUGAGAAAACUCAUAACGAUCCUGCCGUGAGAGGCACGAGGGCUCUCG
rnacentral:misc_RNA from 1 species